GACGAACGCUGGCGGCGUGCCUAAUACAUGCAAGUCGAGCGAGACUCUUCGGAGUCUAGCGGCGGACGGGUGAGUAACACGUGGGCAACCUGCCUGUAAGACUGGGAUAACACCGGGAAACCGGUGCUAAUACCGGAUAAUCCUUUUCCUCUCAUGAGGAAAAGCUGAAAGUCGGUUUCGGCUGACACUUACAGAUGGGCCCGCGGCGCAUUAGCUAGUUGGUGAGGUAACGGCUCACCAAGGCGACGAUGCGUAGCCGACCUGAGAGGGUGAUCGGCAACACUGGACCUGGGCCACGGCCCAGACUCCUACGGGAGGUAGCAGUAGGGAAUCUUCCACAAUGGACGAAAGUCUGAUGGAGCAACGCCGCGUGAGCGAUGAAGGCCUUCGGGUCGUAAAGCUCUGUUGUUAGGGAAGAACAAGUACCGGAGUAACUGCCGGUACCUUGACGGUACCUAACCAGAAAGCCACGGCUAACUACGUGCCAGCAGCCGCCGUAAAAC
rnacentral:rRNA from 1 species